rnacentral:lncRNA from 1 species
UUUUGGGAUAGCAUUGGAAAUGUGAAUGAGGAAAAUACCUAAUUAAAAAAAAAAAAAGAAUUUGGGGGUGAUACCUGAGCCAUGGAUUGCACUUUGGAAUGACUGAUAAAAUUGAAAAUCCUGUCCAUAGCCAAAUAACAAUAUGAAGGUUUAUGUGUGGGCUGAAUAGCAUGAAACUCUCAGGCCGAGGAUUUCUGCUUCCUCUUGGAAGAAACUCUGAUGGUAUACAGCUAGCAAUGAGUGGGGCAGGGAUGCUGUGCAACUCUCACUUCUGUUUACCCGGAAUAUUUUUUUCACCCCGACUAUAAAGGCUACAAGAGCUGGGUUCCAUCGUUCUCAAGAACACUGAUUAUUCUUGGCUUUCCUAUUUAACAUUUGACUACAUUAGCAUUUUUGUAAUAUUUGAGAAGUGUAAUAUCUGAAUAAGCCUUUUGCUUUUUAAUUCCAGUACAUUACUUAACAUAGGUCAGUGGCCUUGACAAGAAGCCUUGAUGGUUAAGUGGAUUAAUGUAAGUAUACCAGGAAAUAUAGGGCUACUCAGUUGCAGGCUCACUGCCUUGUGUGGUCCAUCAUGUUGUGCAGCCUGCAUGCCACUGCAUUUUAUCAGCAUGUGUGAGGGAGGAAGGGGGGUAUGAAGCAGGCAUUGCCUCUCUUCAUGCCCUGAGCUGGAAGAGAUGCGUUACCCCUACUAACAUUCUGUCCAGUGACUGUCUAACUCCAAACAAACCUGGCAUAUGUUACUCCGUAGUGAGUACAGGAACAGAUAGAUAACUCUCCACUCCAGCAUGCCACAAUUUUCAAACAAAUAUAAAAGAUAUAAAACAGAUAGGCUGAGAAAAGCAAUAUAAAACAUUGGAUUCACUUUUUUUUUUUUCCUAAUUGGUGAGACACCAAUAAGCAGUUUAAAGGUGAUUUACUUUGGUUCAUGAGUUAAGGAGUUCCAGCCGGUCAUGGUGAGAAAGGCGUCAUUACCAGAGACUUAACAGCAACAGUGUAUACUCUAGACCAGGAAGAGAAUUUGGCUGGGACCCAGAAAAUCCUGCAACCCAUCAGGACCAACAUCAGAGACCCACUUCUUCCAGUUGGGUUCUACUUCCAAAAGGUUUAAACGUGAUAUCUUAUGGAAUGGAGAUAGUUUCUAUGGUUUACACCAUGACAAACACAUUUAACAUUUAUAGUGUAUAUAGCACUUAUAGUGACAUUGUAGCAUGUAUUCACUUAUUCUAUAAAUACUGCUGAAUGCCUAUGUCCUUCUAUUCCAGGCCCUGGGUGUAGACAUGAGCCAGAAAGCUCAAGUUCCCCACAUUUAACAGUUUAGUAUAGAAACAGACAUUAAUACAUAAUUGCAAACUGUCCGGAUGUGCUUUAGUGGUAGUUCUGGGUGGUACAGCACCACCUAAGGUUCACCAAAUUCUUUUCUUUGUCUCUCAACCUGCUGUGCAGCCCAGCAGAGCCUGGCGCUUGUGAUAUUCUGCCUCAGCCUCCAUUCCCGGUUCAUUUUAAAUUUGUCUCUGUCAUGUCUGAUUACAACUUCUUAGUUGUUGGAUUAAUCUGGCAUUGCUGUAUGCUUCUGGCUCAAUCAAUUUUUUAGGACAUAUAGUAUCAGAUUGUCACUUCCCUCAGACUAACUCUUGGAAAUGAGGGCUGUCUUUUUCAGAGUUGGAUAAAUUCCAUCACUGUAUAUAUCCUCUGUAAGCUGUCUCACGUGGACGCCUUUAAUUCUGUUACCUUCUGUAACGUGGGCCUACCCCUCCACAAAACUGUCUCACAAAAUGAACAACCUGGGGCUUGACCAGCCUGUUAGAGAUGCCAACAGAAGAAUUAGGGUCCGGGAGUGGGUUGGUCAGCCUCUAACCCCAGGGUAGGCUCAGAAUCUCUUAUGAUAGAAUCUUCCUGCAUACAAGUCAGACUUGUCAGCUCAAUGCCUGACACGAGAAGAGGAGUAUAUGUAGCUUUCCACAGUUCCUGAGCCUCCUGUCUCAUGGUUUUAUUAGAAUAAGGGUCAGUGGACUAUACAGAUAAACAAGUUUGGUAAUGUGCUAACAGUUCAAGUAUCUGAUGCCUCUUAUUUUUGGAAACAUACAGAAAAAGGAAGGCCUUAGUGUGUAACCAUGUAAUAAGAAAAGUAUUGCUUUAAAAAAAAACUUUCUGGAUACCCAUGCUGUUUGGAGGCAAAGAAGUUUAGAAGAUAGGGAGAGGCAUCUAUAAUGUUGAGUUUAAACUUCUCUUGAAGUCACAGUAUCCUGGGGUAAAAUUGGAAUCUAUGGAGAUUUCUGUGGAAUCAUCUCCUGGGACCAAACAAGAAUCUAAAUUUAUAAUAAUCCUUUGAGAAGAAAAAAAAUCCAAGAGUCUUUGAUCUCUCACAGUGUACAACUAGAACCACCAUGGAAUGGAAAAAAAAAACCUUAAAUAUUGAAAAUUCAGUGACUCCAAACUUUGCUGAUGUUCAUGACUGUCACUGAGUCC